GCGUCGGUAGUGCAAUGGUCCUAGCACGCGCACCCGGACAGGGCGAAACGUAAAUUCGAGUCCCAGCUGACGCA